rnacentral:rRNA from 1 species
GACGAACGCUGGCGGCGUGCCUAAUACAUGCAAGUCGAACGAACCGCGACUAGGUGCUUGCACUUGGUCAAGGUGAGUGGCGAACGGGUGAGUAACACGUGGGUAACCUACCUCAUAGUGGGGGAUAACAGUCGGAAACGACUGCUAAUACUGCAUAGGACAUGGGAUCACAUGAUUCUGUGAGGAAAGGUGGCGCAAGCUAUCGCUAAGAGAUGGACCCGCGGUGCAUUAGCUAGUUGGUAGGGUAACGGCCUACCAAGGCGAUGAUGCAUAGCCGACCUGAGAGGGUGAUCGGCCACAUUGGGACUGAGACACGGCCCAAACUCCUACGGGAGGCAGCAGUAGGGAAUCUUCCGCAAUGGACGCAAGUCUGACGGAGCAACGCCGCGUGAGUGAAGAAGGUCUUCGGAUCGUAAAGCUCUGUUGUUAGAGAAGAACAGCGCAUAGAGUAACUGUUAUGCGUGUGACGGUAUCUAACCAGAAAGCCACGGCUAACUACGUG